UACAGAGGUCCCAAGCGUUGUUCGGAUUCACUGGGCGUAAAGGGUGCGUAGGCGGUGAGGUAAGUCGGAUGUGAAAGCUCGGAGCUCAACUCCGAAAUGGCAUUGGAAACUACCUUGCUCGAGGGUUGGAGGGGGGACUGGAAUGCUUGGUGUAGCAGUGAAAUGCGUAGAUAUCAAGCGGAACACCAGUGGCGAAGGCGAGUCCCUGGACAACUCCUGACACUGAGGCACGAAAGCUAGGGGAGCAAACAGG
rnacentral:rRNA from 1 species